rnacentral:rRNA from 1 species
AGCUCCAAUAGCGUAUAUUAAAGUUGUUGCAGUUAAAAAGCUCGUAGUUGGAUUUCUGGUAGGAGUGACCGGUCCGCUCCGCAAGGAGUGAGCACUGCUGUCGUCUUUUGCCAUCCUUGGGAAACGCGAUUCUGGCAUUAGGUUGUCGGGGUUGAUUUUCCCAUCGUUUACUGUGAAAAAAUUAGAGUGUUCAAAGCAGGCUUAGGCCAUUGAAUACAUUAGCAUGGAAUAAUGAGAUAGGGCCUUGGUGGUUUUCUAUUUUGUUGGUUUGCACGCCAAGGUAAUGAUUAAUAGGGAUAGUUGGGGGUAUUCGUAUUCAAUUGUCAGAGGUGAAAUUCUUGGAUUUAUGGAAGACGAACUACUGCGAAAGCAUUUACCAAGGAUGUUUUCAUUAAUCAAG